rnacentral:rRNA from 1 species
AUUGAACGCUAGCGGCAUGCUUUACACAUGCAAGUCGAACGAGUGGCGGAUGGUUGCGUAAUAUAUCGUAACGCGCCCAUUAGCGGGGGUUAACUACUCGAUAGCGUGUCUAAUACCGCAUUCUAUUGUAGCGGCCGAUAUUGGAUUGGCUAGUGGGAGGGGUAAAGUCUCACCAAGGCGACGAUCCGUAGCUGGUUUGAGAGGACGACAGGACACGCGGGGACUGGGACACGGACCGUACUCCUACGGGAGGCAGAAGUGGGGAAUUUUUGACAAUGGGGGAAGCCCUGAUACAGGCAUACCGCGGGAAUGAGAAGGCCUUCGGGUUGUAAAGUACUUUUGGCAGAGAAGCGGUAUCUGAAGAAUAAGCACCGGCUAACUACGUGCCAGCCGCCGCGGUAAUAC